rnacentral:rRNA from 1 species
GACGAACGCUGGCGGCGUGCCUAAUACAUGCAAGUUGAGCGCUGAAGGUUGGUACUUGUACCGACUGGAUGAGCAGCGAACGGGUGAGUAACGCGUGGGGAAUCUGCCUUUGAGCGGGGGACAACAUUUGGAAACGAAUGCUAAUACCGCAUAAAAACUUUAAACACAAGUUUUAAGUUUGAAAGAUGCAAUUGCAUCACUCAAAGAUGAUCCCGCGUUGUAUUAGCUAGUUGGUGAGGUAAAGGCUCACCAAGGCGAUGAUACAUAGCCGACCUGCGAGGGUGAUCGGCCACAUUGGGACUGAGACACGGCCCAAACUCCUACGGGAGGCAGCAGUAGGGAAUCUUCGGCAAUGGACGAAAGUCUGACCGAGCAACGCCGCGUGAGUGAAGAAGGUUUUCGGAUCGUAAAACUCUGUUGGUAGAGAAGAACGUUGGUGAGAGUGGAAAGCUCAUCAAGUGACGGUAACUACCCAGAAAGGGACGGCUAACUACGUG